AUUGAACGCUGGCGGCAGGCCUAACACAUGCAAGUCGAGCGAGCGGCGGACGGGUGAGUAAUGUAUGGGGACUGCCCGAUAGAGGGGGAUAACUACUGGAAACGGUGGCUAAUACCGCAUACUAUCGGAUAACCAAUAUGUGAUUAGCUAGUAGGUGGGGGAACGGCUCACCUAGGCGACGAUCUCUAGCGGGUUGGAGAGGAUGAUCCUCCACACUGUGACGUAGACACGGCCCAGACUCCUACGGAGGCACCAGUGGGGAAUAUGGGACAAUGGGCGCAAGCCGGAUGCAGCCAUGCCGCGUGUAUGAAGAAGGCCUUAGGGUUGUAAAGUACUUUCAGCGGGGAGGCGUUACCCGCAGAAGAAGCACCGGCUAACUCCGGGCCAGCCGCCGCGGUAAUUC
rnacentral:rRNA from 1 species